rnacentral:rRNA from 1 species
GGGGAAUAUUGGACAAUGGGCGCAAGCCUGAUCCAGCCAUGCCGCGUGGGUGAAGAAGGCCUUCGGGUUGUAAAGCCCUUUUGUUGGGAAAGAAAAGCAGCCGGCCAAUACCCGGUUGUUCUGACGGUACCCAAAGAAUAAGCACCGGCUAACUUCGUGCCAGCAGCCGCGGUAAUACGAAGGGUGCAAGCGUUACUCGGAAUUACUGGGCGUAAAGCGUGCGUAGGUGGUGGUUUAAGUCCGUUGUGAAAGCCCUGGGCUCAACCUGGGAACUGCAGUGGAUACUGGAUCACUAGAGUGUGUCAGAGGGUAGUGGAAUUCCCGGUGUAGCAGUGAAAUGCGUAGAGAUCAGGAGGAACAUCCAUGGCGAAGGCGGCCCCCUGGACGAAGACUGACGCUCAGGCACGAAAGCGUGGGGAGCAAACA